CUUGGUGUUACUGCGAAGGGGGGACGGAGAAGGCUAUGUUAGCCGGGCGACGGUUGUCCCGGUUUAAGCAUGUAGGCUGGUUAUCCAGGCAAAUCCGGAUAAUCAAGGCUGAGGUGUGAUGACGAGGCACUACGGUGCUGAAGUAACAAAUGCCCUGCUUCCAGGAAAAGCCUCUAAGCAUCAGGUAACAUCAAAUCGUACCCCAAA
rnacentral:rRNA from 1 species